GUAAGGUCUCGGUUGCCACAUGUAUUGUAGCCCAAAGACCUCUGGCUGAGUCUUUUAUCCCUCCUUUAGCCAUCAUUAGUUUGGGAUCUUAGGAGCCUCCCUGAAAAACUGAGUCCAAAGAUGAGCUAGAUUCUUUUCAGCUCUUAAAGAGUAUAAUAUCUUGAUCUCAUUACAUAGAAUUUGGAUUUCUUGACAUAAAGAGGAAAAAAAUUCUUUCUCUGGGCUAUCAGUGAAUAUAGCUUAAGACAAAAAUCGAGAAUCCAUGUUUGUUUAAGAGCAAACCAUCAUCUCUAAGCAUUUACUAACUGAACAGAUUUUAGGUGGGAGGAUAUCCAUCAUCUAGGGUCCAGUGAUUUCAGCAGAGAUUUCCCCAGUUUUCAUGAAAGAUACCUUCCUCGAGGCCUCAGCCCUUACAUGAUGUAUUCACGAGCUUUGAGGAUAUUUGUUUAAAAGUCAGCCUGUAUUGGCAGUAGAAAUCCUUUCAGUCUUCUUUGUAGCUUCCUGAUAAUGAAGAACACAGGUCUGAUCAUUGUGAACAAGACAUUCAGGAAAUGUGUGGUACAGGACUGCAGCUUCCAACGAGUUGACAGAAAAAUCUAAAUCCAUCAGUGUUGAGAGCCAUGCCCAAAGAUGCCAUCUGUGUUUUGGGAUGGGCUUUCAUCCCCAAACACAGGAGACCCUGCAAUGCAGGAGACCCUGGUUCGAUUCCUGGUGCAGGAAGUUCCCCUGGAGAAGGGAUUGGCUACAGACUCCAGUAUUCUUGGACUUGCCUGGUGGCUCAGACGGUAAAGAAUCAGUCUGCAAUGCUGGAGACCUGGGUUUGGUCCCUGGGUUGGAAGAUCCCCUGGAGGAGGGCAUGGGAACCCACUCCAGUUUUCUUGCCUGGAGAAUCCCCAUGGACAGAGGAGCCUGGCAGGCUACAGACUGUGGCAUCACAAAAAUUUGGACAUGACUGAGCGACUUAGCACACACACACACUCACAGGAUGGCGGUAUCAGACUCAAGGCUAUACUUCAACUGGUUUUCAUCAAUUUGACUUUGGACAGCAAGGAGCGUAUCUAUUGUACUUACUAAGAGAGUCCCAGUGCUUCACAUCACAGCCAAUGUUUGUUGGAUUAAUAAGUUGACAAAUCAGUGAAAGAAGAAAGGCCCCCCUGGGAAGGUCUUUGACUCUUCUAUCAAGUACUCUUGAUUGAUGGCAGCAUUUCUGGGAUUCAUUCAUUUCUCGUCCUCCCAAUAGCCACUAGGCUGCUCCUGUCC
ensembl:lncRNA